AAUAGGAGAGUGGUAUUCAGUCGGUAAUACAUUCCCUAGUCUUUGCUUCCUUGACUGCUCUUGGUCUCUUAGUCUAUGAACUCUGUGAGAGGGGCAUUCAAGUGUUCCUUCCUUUUUACAGUCUGUGGGGUAGCAGUUAUGGGCGUGGCCUCAUUUAUGUAUCUGUAGGUGUGGCCAGUAUAUCUUGUAUUUUGUAUAUUAUUUCGCUGGUUAUUAAUUUUGUUAAAAUUAGAAGGAAGAUUAAUAAUAAAUUGGAAGGAGUGGCUAAUUCAAACAAGGGUAAACUGUUGCAAGGUUUAAAUGAACAUUUGUUAAUUACGAUAUUCACUGCUGUUGCUGGUCUCUGUGGAUAUAUACUGCCAGUUGAAGUGUUCCUCCUUCAUGGUUUCCAUGGAAACACUGAUCUUUCCUUAUAUGGUGAGACAUGUGCUAUAGUAC